rnacentral:tRNA from 1 species
GCCCCCGUGGCCCAACGGGCAGAGGCAGGCGACUUAAAAUCGCUACAGUGCGAGUUCGAAUCUCGUCGGGGGCA